GCCAGGGACAGCGGGCCAGAACUAUAGCCGACGAGAUGCGGGUCCCGCGGCAGCCGCGCUCGCGUCCAGGCGCCGGGCCCGGGCGAGCCUCGAGCCCGGACCUGACCCCGCCGUGACCGGCGCAGAGACACGGGGCGCAAUUUGAAAUGAGCUUCACGAAGUUGUCGUUGAGCGCGAUGCCAGCCUUAGCAUCGAAGAUGGACGAGUGGGUAUCGCUAACAAAGUCCGUGGACACGACCUGAGCGUCAGAAUUUCAAAGACAUAUGGAGCGCAGAGCUAGGACCUCCAGGAGCUCAGGCUUCUGGGCACAUUACCCAUUCAUUCAUCUACAGUCUUCGAUGGAGCCCUUCUGCGUGGGGAUAGGGUACAAGGAAGACAUGCGGGAGCUUUGCAGGUGGGGGACUGGCCGAAGGAUACAGACGGCAAACACCCUGAUGCCGCACCAAUAGACAUUUUCUGGCACACUGCACUUGGAAUGGCUCAGCCAGGAGGCCCUCCCUGAGGGGAGGUGGUGAGUCAGGCGCUGGACGACUAGGAGAAUCUGGCUAACUCCAGCUCUCAGCAGGGUGGAAGGAGCUGCAGCACAGAGCCCUGGGGGUUUGGCCUUGAGCAGCAGGGUGAUGUGAUCUGAUUUUUCUAAGAGGUCCUGGUGAAGGUGGACCUUCAGGAGCUAAAGCAGGGAGACAGCAUCAAGCAGGGAUGACACCAGGAGCAAAGGGUUGGUGCUAUCCAUUCCUCACAGGGAAGGUAUCUGGCCAUGGCCUGCUCUGAGCAGCCUUGAACAGUGGGAGUUCUUGUCUUGUUCACUGAGCAUGAAUUGAGCACCUGCUGUGUGCCACGCCCUAGGAGGACAGCUGGAGCUACAGAAGUGAAGAGUCCCCAGGUCCCCGCUUUCUUGGAGUGCACAUGCCAGCACGGCCAACAGUGACUAUGAAAUGACAUUUCAGACACACACUUGUGCUCCCAUACGGCAUUUAAGACACCUGCGCUUGAAGCUGAACUACCUGAGCUACAGGUUGCCACAGACCCUGUGGCCUGAGGCUGGGCUGUGUGUGUUUGCAGUAGCAUUACGAGUUCAUAAAGGGUGGGGUACAUGGGCUGGAGGAGAGCUCCUGAGCUGAGAAGGACAUGCUCAGCGAAGGAGCUUCAGUGAUGAAGCAUCACCGGGUAGGUGACAGGUACCAGCGGGCUCUCUACCAAUUUCAGUGAGACUCCCAUUUCCUGGUUGCCACCACGGGCUAGGUGCUGAGCCGAGCAAUUCAGUGCAUCAGCUCACUGUAUCCUGUGAGACAUGAGCUAUAUACUCAUUUCACAGAGGGAGACCGAGGCCCGAGAUCACUGAGGGAGUGAUGAGCACGGAGGGGGUUCAAGGCCUACAGCAGUCAACCUGCCUGCCGCAGUGUCUUCUGGACCCUGGAGCCCCGCCCCACCCAAGCCAUGUCCACCCCCAGCCCCCUGGCUGGCCCCUGCCUCACCCCGCUGGUGAGGAGGCCAAAAGUGAACCCAGAGCCCCUCUGGAAGGCCUGGGAUCGGCUGGCUGGAUUGUGUGCGCGCACCUCUGGCCGGGGGAGGUAGGGCUGCCCAAUGGCAGUGAGCGGGGACUCCGAGUCCAUGCUCCACUAUUCCCGUGCUGAAACCCAGGGGCCUGCUUUGUGUUCUCUUACCUCUGUAAAAUGGGGACACUAAGCACUGGCCUCAAAGGUGGUUGGGAGGCUUCGCUGAGCGCAUGCCUGUAAAGUGCUCCGCUGGGGCCUGGAGGGCGCAGGUGUCCUCGCUUUGUGCCAUCCAGGCAGGACAAAGUCCACCAACCCCCAAGCGGCCCUUUGGCGCUGGCCCACAGCAGCGUCACUUUCGUGUGAAACCUCACCCGCCGAGGUUCUUCAACAACCAGCGGCUGCCCUCAGAGGUGUCUCCUCGCAACCCGGCUCAGGCCUCUGUCCAGCCCAUUUCUCCCCUCCACUACUGGUGCAAUGCCUGGGGUGGGCGUCCCAGUCCCCUCCACCAUCGCCAUAGAAACCACUUUGCCAGCAAGCCGGAUGGUAAGGAGGGUGGGGCUGGAGGGAGCGAGGGCAUUGCCCCCGAUGGAGGAGCCCCUGCCAGCCCGCGCUAACCCACCCCGCGCCUCCCGCCCCGCUCCUGGUCGUCGCUAUUGGUGCGACGCUUGCCGGCAGGGGCUCGGACCCUGAGCAGGAGCUCCCCGACCGCCCCUCUUUCCCCUCCCCCAGGUCGCUCGCUGCCUCCCUCACCCGGGCAAGGCUGUCGCAGCAGCUGGACAACGGUGACAUUGGUGAAGACGAUGUCGCGUUUAGCCAUGGCCUCCUAAGGUUUCAUGCCCUGUCAGCCGCCCCAGCACCCGCCGCGAUGUUACUGUGAGCUGGGGGCUCAAAGGCUGGAGAGGCUAGAGCUUCUUACCAUGAAGUCACAAAGCCUAGUGACGUCACAGAGGCGGCGGUGCGGAGGCCGCAUUCUAGUCGAGGCACGUGACAUCCACCCCCUGUGUACCACCGUUCCAAGUCCAUCAAUAGCGUCUGGAAUGGAAUCCAACACUUUACACUGAUCUUCAGAAUGCUUUUUCUCUUCUUUUAUCUCCUUGGGCACACUGGCGCCAUGCCAUUCCCCACCCUCCUCUGGAUAGUUACCGUAGCUAUUUCAUUCUGCCUGGAAGCCCUGCCCAGGUCUUCCCUUUGCUGCCUCUUGGUUUCCCUCCAGUGCCGCCCUCUAAGAAAAGCCCUCCUGACUCCCCAGCUCAUGUUCUCUCUCAGUUACUUUCCGCCCUUCACUCCACUCCCUACAUCUGUCAUCUUCCAGGAAGCCUGGUCCGGCUCCCAUCCUGGGUUAAAUACUCCGAUAUGCAGAAAUACUCUAGGGUUACAGCCGGCAUGUUAAUUUUCCUCACAGCUCCUGUCCCUCUUCAUUGGUUUUCUUGCGGCUUGUCUCUGCCCACUAGAGUGCUUGUCUGCCUUUGUCACUUUCGUACCCCAUUGACUGGAAGAAUGUUUGGCACUUGAAAUGUGCUUGCUCAAUGACUAAUUACCAGAAUGAAUGAAUAAAUGUCACCUCCUGAGGUUUCUUCCGAGCCCCAGUCUUAGAGCAA